CAUGCAGUCGAACGAGACCUUCGGGUCUAGUGGCGCACGGGUGCGUAACGCGUGGGAAUCUGCCCUUGGGUUCGGAAUAACAGUUGGAAACGACUGCUAAUACCGGAUGAUGACGUAAGUCCAAAGAUUUACCGCCCAGGGAUGAGCCCGCGUAGGAUUAGCUAGUUGGUGAGGUAAAGGCUCACCAAGGCGACGAUCCUUAGCUGGUCUGAGAGGAUGAUCAGCCACACUGGGACUGAGACACGGCCCAGACUCCUACGGGAGGCAGCAGUGGGGAAUAUUGGACAAUGGGCGAAAGCCUGAUCCAGCAAUGCCGCGUGAGUGAUGAAGGCCUUAGGGUUGUAAAGCUCUUUUACCCGGGAUGAUAAUGACAGUACCGGGAGAAUAAGCUCCGGCUAACUCCGUGCCAGCAGCCGCGGUAAUACGGAGGGAGCUAGCGUUGUUCGGAAUUACUGGGCGUAAAGCGCACGUAGGCGGCGAUCUAAGUCAGAGGUGAAAGCCCGGGGCUCAACCCCGGAAUAGCCUUUGAGACUGGAUUGCUUGAAUCCAGGAGAGGUGAGUGGAAUUCCGAGUGUAGAGGUGAAAUUCGUAGAUAUUCGGAAGAACACCAGUGGCGAAGGCGGCUCACUGGACUGGUAUUGACGCUGAGGUGCGAAAGCGUGGGGAGC
rnacentral:rRNA from 1 species